UUUCACAGCAGGGCAAACAUGAAGCUGGCCAUCCUGUGCCUCUGUUUGGUUAGUACAGCCUGUGCUGCACCAUUUCAGUACUUGCCUCGUUUCACAUCUUCCAGAGGGGCUCCGCUCCCACAGAUGAAAAAUCCCUUCACCGCUGGAUUCCCACAGCCGGCACUGCCUGGUGCUUACAGCGUGGAGCUCAUUUACCCACACAGAUUUGGCGCUGCUGCUGGACCGGGCCCUGCUCAG